UUCUAAUUUGCUUGUUUGUUUAACUGCUCAUUUUGAAUUCCUUGCUUUUUUCCUAGCUAGAGAAUGAUUUUUUGAAGAGAGAUAAAAGUGGUGGUUAUUUGAAAAGAGUUGUGUGUGAGAGUUAUUUCUAGAACUGUUAAGAAUCAUGGCUAGUUUCAUUUAGCUGGAAAACAUGUGUAUGAUCUGAACAAAUUCUGGAUUUGUUGCUGGAAGGGUAGGCUGGUGUAAAGGCAUCCCUAUGCUUUUCUGAGACAUGUAUCUGUAUAUUUGAUUCUAUAUAGUACUUGAUACUUGUUGAUAAAGUUAAGAAGAGUAAUGUGUAUGUUGUGCUUGCCUGUUAGGAAGCCUGAAAGAUACUCGAGCGUUUAUGUGAUAUACUCACCCGUUGGCUUAAAAAGAAACCUUUGGAGAACCCAUUGAUGUGGAGAUUAUAGGAAGCCUGAGAGAUGCUCAAGCUUUUUCUCGUAAUCAUGCUCACAAAGACACUGGUAAUUGAGAGUUGAUACAUGAAUUUUAGCAUUCUUUGUAUAGAAAUUAUGUUAUCAGUACUAUUGCAGCUGGACUUGAUGGAAUUCGUUUAGCUAUUUCUACUGCCACUCGUUUAGCUAUAUUGAUAUUGAUUCCUCUCCCACAUCGGUGACUGUCUCUGGCCAGAUUAUUUUAUGAGGUGGUGAAAAAGAUCGUUAUGGGGAAAAAGAUUGGAGCAUGUAUUUAGUAGAAAGUCUAAAUUAAGGGUUAACAGUGUGUGCUACUUCACUUUCUGUAACUAGAACUUUGGAAAGUUAAAUUAGUUAUGACCUAAUUAUAUGAGCUAUUUCUGAAUGGAAAAUGUGCUAGGUAUGACUU